CCUGCCCCUAAAGGCAUUGCAUGUGUGGCUACUGUGUCACAUGGGUGUCAGAUGUCAGAGAAUAUAGAAGCUAUGUCUACCUUCAGUAUUCUGACCUAUAACCAUCUGAAUGAUUAGUAGCUUUAAAUU